ensembl:lncRNA
GAGAGCAGGGCAGGGCAUCGAUGAAACAUGGAGGUAAGGAAAGGGAGUGAAUGCAAUAAUAACAGACAAGGGAGGCUGUUCAGACGGUAUUCACAGUAAAUCAGUUCUUCUACGCAACGCAGAAGCUUUCCACUCAAAGUAACUUUACACACGUACAGCCUUUCCCACCAGAAAAGAAUAUCUGCCGUUGAAUUGCUUUGCAUUUCCUCCCUCCCUUCUGGGCUCCCGCGCCGUGCCCCCUCCCGCUCUCUCCGCCUCGCAGUGGUUCAGCCGGAGCCCAGUUUCCUCUCCGUUUCAUUAGAUUCAGCACAUUCGGAGCGGCCCAACGCUCGACUUGUCCUUAUAAGGAGUGAGAAUCAGAGUUGGGCUGAAGCCCCGGGAUGGACGCGGAAAACACACAUCGUCGUGACCGCGUAUUUGUCUGCGGAUGCGAUCGAGUGUUUGCGUGCAAAUGCGCCACGUAUGACCCUUUGACCAGCGGCGUCGAAGUCGUUCACACCUCUGCUCAAAAGCCAGCGUGUCAUCAGCUCUCAGUCCAGUCAGCCACUCUUCUAUCGAAGCACGUUGCCCACUUUCUGGAAUAAUGCUGAUUUUUCAGAUGAUACAUUUUUCUGCUGGCGUCUCCACAGAUGCCAAAACACUAAACUCCAUCCAAUUUGAGAAAUGGGUAAAAUUUGCGGCGUGAUUGAAUUCUUAGUCGAACCUGUCAGCAGAGUUAAUACAUUUCUGCAGGACCGCUUGGCGAAAGGAAAGUCUUCAGCGGCGAAAAGUCGUUCUCGGGCAAUCGAGCCGCAAGUUAAAUGGAAGUUUAUUCCACCGACGGCUGUUUGUAUUUUAAUGUUUGAACCGUUUUGUAUACAAGCAUGAUUUAGUGUGUGUCUGCAUGUGUGUGUGUGUAAAUACUAAAUGAGUAUCUCCCUUUAAUCAUCUGGUUUUAAAUGCAGUGCGGGUGACGUGGUACAAUAUGUUUCAGUGACUUUAUGGCUUUAAUAAGGGACAAAUAUGGCCUUAAUGGCAGCGCGCGCGCAUUUAAAAACAAACUCAAAGCAAACUUUUUCUCCUCUCUCUCCAUAUAUCAGAUUCUGCUUUCCUCAUUACACUCAUGUGUGUGAUGAGCAUCUGGUUUCCCCCCCCCCCCCCCCCCCCGUCCCCUCGGUCUAUGCGCUUGAACUCUGUGACUGGAGGAUAAAGUACGUGUAGAUAGAUGGACCUGCAACCCCAAACAACGACGGCAUUUUAUUCCCCAAUGCCAUAUCUAAUAGAGAAAUAAUGAUGGCCGCCCUUAUUGGAGAGCGAGGAACGGG